rnacentral:misc_RNA from 1 species
GAAAUGCGAUAAGUAAUGUGAAUUGCAGAAUUCAGUGAAUCAUCGAAUCUUCGAACGCACCUUGCGCUCCUUGGUAUUCCUUGGAGCAUGCCUGUUUGAGUAUCAUGAAAUCUUCAAAGUAAAUCUUUUGUUAACUCAAUUGGUUUCUACUUUGGUAUUGGAGGUCUUUGCAGCUUCACACCUGCUCCUCUUUGUUCAUUAGCUGGAUCUCAGUGUUAUGCUUGGUUCCACUCGGCGUGAUAAGUUAUCUAUCGCUGAGGACACUGUAAAAGGUGGCCAAGGUAAAUGCAGAUGAACCGCUUCUAAUAGUCCAUUGACUUGGACAAUACUUUUAUGAUCUGAUCUCAAAUCAGGUAGGACUACCCGCUGAACUUAAGC